rnacentral:snRNA from 1 species
GUGCUUGCUCAGCAGUACAUAUACUAAAAAAUUGCAACAAUACGGAGAAGAUUAGCAUGGCCCCUGCACAAGAAUGACAUGAAAAUUAGUGAAGUGUUCCAUAUUUUU